rnacentral:misc_RNA from 1 species
GAUGAAGAACGCAGCGAAAUGCGAUAAGUAAUGUGAAUUGCAGAAUUCGGUGAAUCAUCGAAUCUUUGAACGCACCUUGCACCCUUUGGCAUUCUGAAGGGUAUGCUCGUUUGAGUGUCAUUGUACUCUCACACUCCCGAUCUUUGCAUUGGGAGCAGUGGACUUGGGUUUGCUGCUUCACCGUCGCUUACCUCAAAUAGGUUAGUGCAACUCUUGGUUGGACAUAGUACGGCGUGAUAAGUGUUCUUCGCCGGUGCCUCGCAAAGAGGGUGGCCGAUCGGGAUGUUGUGCUCCAAACCGUCUUCGGACAAUCUCUGACGACUUGACCUCAAAUCGAGUAAGACUACCCGCUGAACUUAAGCAUAUCAAUAAGCGGAGGA